UGGGGAAUAUUGCACAAUGGGCGCAAGCCUGAUGCAGCCAUGCCGCGUGUGUGAAGAAGGCCUUCGGGUUGUAAAGCACUUUCAGCGGGGAGGAAGGCGUUAAGGUUAACAACCUUGGCGAUUGACGUUACCCGCAGAAGAAGCACCGGCUAACUCCGUGCCAGCAGCCGCGGUAAUACGGAGGGUGCAAGCGUUAAUCGGAAUUACUGGGCGUAAAGCGCACGCAGGCGGUCUGUCAAGUCGGAUGUGAAAUCCCCGGGCUCAACCUGGGAACUGCAUUCGAAACUGGCAGGAUAGAGUCUUGUAGAGGGGGGUAGAAUUCCAGGUGUAGCGGUGAAAUGCGUAGAGAUCUGGAGGAAUACCGGUGGCGAAGGCGGCCCCCUGGACAAAGACUGACGCUCAGGUGCGAAAGCGUGGGGAGCAAACAGG
rnacentral:rRNA from 1 species